rnacentral:lncRNA from 1 species
AUGCUCGUCUUCUUGUUCGGGCUGCAGCUGGGUGGUGGUGCAGAUGCAGAGCAGAGCUUAGUCCUGACGAUGACGGCGAUGGCGAUGCAUGUGUGGGAGAGAGGCGAAGCCGCGAAGGCGAAGGAGGAGGCGGAAAUGGGGCGGGUUCCGGGAAUCGGGUGGUGGUGGGGGUGCGAGCCUAGGGGGAAGAGGCCAAAAGCCCAGAAAAACCGCGUGCCACGUGCCGGCCGGUGCUGCCUGCAGCUAGGCGUACACACAGCACAGGAGCUGUACUGUGCACGGAAGGAAUCAGCUAAGCUAGCGGCAGAUGACGCAGAGGACGAUGGCGACGAUUAUGAUGAGCGCCAGCAGCGGCAGCGAUAUCACCAGCACCAGCUCCAUGAUAAAUUAAUUAAGGAUGAUCGAUAUGAGAUCGAUCUACUUAAUUUGCUUCAACAAAUCUCGCUCGCUGCUCCGACUCCGAUCCUCUCACGUACUACACGGCGCAAUACACAGCCCUGCAAACAACAAUUAAAUUGAAUAGAAUUAA